UCAAGCACCCUAGGAAUAAAAAGCAAUUGCUUUAGCUCCUGGCAAAGGGUGGCUCCUGCUAUAGAGACUGCAAAUCCAAGACUGGUCCUACAGCUGCUGCCACCUCCAGAGCAGAUUGGCAAGGAUAAGACAUGGCUGAGGUUAAUGUCAUGUCCCUAUGGUUGUAUACCAGCAAUACCUAUGCUACAGAUGAAUCCCCAAACCCACCUGUGGAUACGUGCUGGAGCAACACAGCCUUCUUCAUUAUUCAAGGACAAAGAACCAAGAUGACAAACUGUCUGAAUUAAAGAUGUUGCACAGCCUUACUUUCCAGAUGUCUAUGAACUAAAUUUGAAAUGGCUGUGUUGGAGACUGAUGGGAGUUGUAGUCUAAGUACAGCUAGAGAGCAGCAGGUUGGGGAAAGCCGAUGAGGCACAUCAGAGUUCCAUUGCUCUCAAGGGGCUCAUCUACACCAAGUAGGAUAUUCCAGUAUGAAAGUGGUGUAUAAAAGACAGGAUCUACACUACUGCUUUAUAGUGGCAUUGAAGUGCACUAACAACUGUUGGGGCCCACGACACAUGUCAUAUGCUGCUUUCAAACUGCUUUCAUAGUGUUAUAUCUUGCUUGGUGUAGAUCUGUCAAUGGGCCCCAACAGUUGUCAGUGCACUUCAAUACCGCUAUAAAGUAGUAGUGUAGAUCCUGCCUGUUAUAUACUUUCAUACCACUUUCAUAGUGGAAUAUCCUGCUUGGUGUAGAUGAGCCCAAGGAGUCACUUGCUACAUGGCACCUACUUUGAUUGUGAUAAGUAAGCUGGACGAAGGAAACUGAUGGGUAGAAGUCUUCAGCCUUUUGAAACUCAAGUCAAGACCCACUUCAACCCAAACCCAAAUUAUGAGAACUACUUUUAAUCCACGACUGUAAAUGACAAUCUUUGUUUGUCUUUCUCUGGCCAGAUCUACACCAGCAGGAUAUAGCACUAUGAAAGCAGUAUGAAAGAGGCAGGAGCCACAGCAAGCAAGAUAUAGCACUAUGAAAGAGGCAUGAAAGUAAUAUAUGGUAUGUGUCAUUGGGCCCCAACAGUAGUCAGUGCACUUCAAUACUGCUAUAAAGCAGUAGUGUGGCUCCUGCCUCUUAUCUACUGCUUUCAUACCACUUUCAUAGUGCUAUAUCCUGCUCGGAGUAGAUUUGGCUUCCGUUUCUCUUCCUCUCUCUUUCCCAUCCAAAAUCAAAAAGAAAAGAAAAGCUUAAAAUACCGCUAGUGUGACCCACUUUGGACUGGAGUAUAAACCAGUUAUGGGUCACAACCAUGCAUGCCACAUUUUUUAAACUAUUUGACAAUACUCUCUUAAACGUGAUCACACCAAUACAGCCAUCAGAGACUGUUGAUGUAGCACCAGCUUAAGCUGUUAAAUUCUAUGGCUUUGGUAUUCCUGUGGUGUAAAGAGUGGGGUUACGUAGGUCUCAAAAUGGACCACCCAACAGUCAGGACCCUCUGCUGCGGCUGAAAACCUGGCUAAUUAACCAUAACUGUACAAGAGAUCCAUGUAGGCUGCAGUGAUUGAUAUUCAUAGGCUAAUCCCUGCUCGACUAGACCUAUCAAGUUCUGGUUACCUCUGUGAUGUCUCAUCAGUUUGAGCAACCUGUCACUAUGAGUAUCAGCAGAUGAGGAUGUCACCUGGGGCUGUGUCCUGAUCUGCCCCACUGUCUUCUCUGGAGCUUGGCCUUCAGCCAGUGCCAGCUCCAGGUUUUCGAGAGCCCUUGGGCAAGGCUCCCCCUCCUUCUUUAAGUCUACUUUGUCACCACCAUUGUCACUAUUGCUCUUCCUCCUCCUCUUUCUCAGCAUUGCUUGCUUGCUUCACAAGCAAUAGCCAAUGAGCAAGUAGUCAGUGGCAUCUACUGCUUCUCCUUCUCACCACCCGAAUGAGAGGCAGAUGAACAAGGAAGUUGUAAUGGUGGAAGAGCAAGUCCUGACGGCUCUUGAUAGUGGGCCCCUGCUGCAGUUUACACCUACUCAGCUGGUGCCCAACCAUGACUGCCCUUGAUGCUGAACCUGUCCUCAGUCCAGUCCUGACUAUACCCUUCCUCUGAUCCCUCGGAGCCUAAUCUACCUUCCUGGAACCUGAGCUGUGGCCCAGCUCUGACUAUGCCCCUUCAUCUGGCUCCUUGGACCCUGAUCUGCUUGCUCCACCUUCAGCCAUGCACUUGUCUCAGCACCCAGCAAUGAGGAGCAGACCCUGGCUAUGGCUUGAAGUAUGGCCAUACCUAUAGUCACCUUGUAUCUUUUGUGGUUUCACUGCAGUGACAGCUAAUGGCCUGUAAUAACCACUGAUCUGGGAAGUAACGUGAGGAAUACUAGUUCAGCUCAGACCAUCAGUACAAGAUGUUAAGUUUUCAGGAUUGCUAAAAUAAUAUUUUCCAAUGCCAUGCAUAGUAUAUUCACCUACUGCCUAGACAUUUUUGUCUUAUUUCAGUUGCCUUAUACAGGCAAGCUGUAUCAGCCGCUAAUUGGUCUGUGUAUUCUGCUGGGCUUUUAUUAACAGACACAUAAGGAAGAUUUCACCCAUUUGGAUAGGUGCCUGAAUCCUAAAUCACUCAAUUGGAUAGUUGCCUGUACCCUUAAUCUGCAUCUUGAAAUAACCCAAUGCAUGAGAUGCAAAAAGAAUGAGAGCUUUGUGCAACAUACAUGCUGAUAAAUGAAGGCUGCACUAGAAGAUGUUAAAUAUCGCCAUGGCUUGGAUCAUAAAGCAAUGUGCAGAAGUCUUAUCAGAAAUAUUCCCACAAAGUAGCUUGUUACUAGGAAAAAGACCCAGUAUCAAAGAAAGAAGAACCCAAAGCAGCAGACAAUUGGGGCUAAGAAGAAGAGCUGGAAUAUAGGGGGACGUUAUGGGCUCCCACAUUCUCCCUUUCCUCUUGAUAUUGCUUAGCAGUGAAUAUUUGGUCUAACCUUGCUUAAGUGACUUUUUCAACUCUGGCCUAUGUACCAUUAGUUAAUUCUCGUGAUCCUUAAAAUCUCUGAAUUCUAAGUUUGAAAAUGGCAGCAGUAAGUACUACCUGAGACUGUUUCUAAAAUUUCUAUUAUUUGAGUGUCCUAUUUGUUUGUGGUUUAUUAUAAAUGGUGUUUACAUGA